UUGAUUUACUAUAUUUUGUUUAUAAACCUCUGAAAAUAAAAAGAUGGCGGUUCACUGUUUUCCAAAUAAUCUUUCAUUUCUCUCCUCUCCUCACCACCACACCAAGGCACCACCUACAACUACCCACUCGUGGCGCUUGUUAAAGCACGGUAUUCAAUUGAAUACUCUAUUUUUUUUAGUUGUAAUCUAGAAGCGAAAAUUUUUGAAAAUGGGGAACAAUAAUCGGGUCCCGUCUUCUUCCUAUAAAAAUAUUCAAAUUUUUAUACUUAUUUAGUAGUUUUUUGUUUUAAGCAUUGAAAUGUGGAAGUUUAUUGUACGAAUGAAAUGUGAAAGAGCCAACAUAGGCAAUUGGCUUCGUUAUGUAUUUCCAAAGAGAUGCAUUUGAUAAUAUAAAUAAUCAAAUCCACCCCAAAAGCAUGAAUAUUGAAGUUAUUAUGCAAUAAUUUUAAAAACUAGUCUAUGAAAAUUGUAAUAUUCUAUGUAUUUACAUAUUUUUGAUAUAAUAGUCCUUUUUACACACAUGAUUUGUCAAAUAAAACUGAUAGAAUUUAAGUUUUAUAUUACUACCCUAACAAAAGUUUUUGACAUGCCAUUGCAACCGCACCACCUCUAGCUACCACGAUCCCACGACCUCACUACUAGUCGUCAUCACCAUCUUCCAUAGUCAACAACCACUACCGACAACCACCUCUGACCGUUGAGUACUCUUGCGGCAACUGCCCCACCUUUUGCCACAACUGCGGAAGACUAUUCUAUCUCUGCGCACCAUCUUUAGCCACGAACUAGCACCAAGUCACCACCAGUUCUUAGCCCUCAUAUUUGGCCAUAACCACUUAUGACACCCUCGUCAUUAGAGGCAGGGGCGGUGCUACAGCAGCCCAGGUGGGGCUGUAGCCCCCCCGACUUUCAAAGUAUUACAAAAUUUGUUUUAGAAAAUUUUUUUUUUUACACUUUAGCUCCCUUGAAAUAUAUUAAAUUUUUUUUUUUAUACUUUAGCCCCCUAACCUAAAAUCCUGACUCCGCCCCUAGUCUAAUCCCAUUUGGCCAACAUAUGUGCAUGCACCAAACAUAUAUUAAUUCACUUGUUUACAUUUGUUUUUUUUUAAACAAAAAAGCAAAAACUUUUUUUUGUUUAUUAUAAACAAAAAAUAAAAGAAAGCUAAUCAGAUGGGUUUAAGCCCGUGAUAUUACCACGGGCUCGCCUAAAUAGUCGCGCCACAUCCACCCAUUUGGGGGGGGGAUGGGACUUAAAAAAAAACAACAUAAUUUAUCUUAUUCACUCCUAAAUGAGUGGAUGUGGCGCGACCACGUAAACGAGUCUGUGGUAAUACUAUGGGUUUAAGCCCGUCUGAUCAGCUCUCAAAAUGAAAACAGUAAACGCUACAAAACACUAUAUUUCAUUAUAGUUUUACUUUUGGGAACAUCGUUGAUGUCAAUUACUUCUCAUCAAACCACCCUCCGCUCUCUAUCUGGUCUUUCUAUUUUUUUGUUUGUCAUUUAUCUCUCUUCACGUUUCAUUUUACCCCAAGUCAUAUCAAGUCAGAAUCUUGUCCUUGCCAAAACAUUUGGACCACUACAUUAUUGUUUGAAGGACAAUAUUUUAUUUUAUUAUAUUUUAUUUUAUUUUCAAAUUUAAAAGACAAAUGACAUUUUUUAUAAUAGAUUAGUAUAAAUAUCAUUUCUCUUGUUUUUGAUUUAAUAUAAUAUUGUUUUUUGUUUACGACACUGAAAGUAAAAAGAUGUGGUUUACCACUUGUUUCAAAAUAAGCUUUCAUUCUCUCCUCUCUCUCCUCACCACCGAGGCACCACCUACAACUACCCACUCGUGGCGGCUUGUUAAAGCAUUGGUAUUCAAUUGAAUACUCAAUUUUUUUUUGUAAAUCUAGAAGCGAAAAUUUUGAAAAUGGGGAACAAAAUAAUGCAGUCACUUUCUUUCUAUAAAAAAUAUUCAAAUUUUAUACCUAUUUAGUAUUAUUUAUUGAAGCAUUGAAAUGUGAAGUUUAUUAACGAAUCGAAAGGUGAAAGAGGCACAGAGGCAAUUGGCUUCGUUAUGUAUAUCCAAAGAGAUGCAUUUGAUAAUAUUAAUAAUCAAAUUCACCCAAAAAAAUAUAAAUAAUAAAAAUCAAGAUAUUAUGUUAAAAGUUGAUUAUUCAAAACAUGAGUUAAGAACUAUCAAAAUAAAACUUCUCAGUUUUUAUUUUUAUUUUCAAUUUUCUUAAAUUAUUUUGGGUUCAUAAAUAAAAGAAUAAAUUACAAUAAACUUUUUAAGACAACUUUUAAAAGAAAAAAAUAAAACAAAACAGAAUAGAACAUUCAGCAAUUAUUUGUGAGCACUGUUGUGGGUCCCCUGAAAAUAUGAUACACUCAGGCUCCGUUUGGUUAAUGUUAAAAAAAACUAAGCUUUUUUUAAGCUUGCCUGCUACUAAGAAGGCAAAGAAUUUUUGAUUUUUUUUUUUUUUGCUUUUGUGGCUUUACUUAGCUUAAAUCUAAGCAAAAAGCA
rnacentral:lncRNA from 1 species